ensembl:lncRNA
AGGGAUGCUGGGAAAUGCCGUGCAGAGGCGGCUCAACUGGUGACUGUGACAGUGACAAAUUAUUAUUUUUUUUUUAUUAAAUUUUUGUAGAUAUGGUUUCAGUUGGUUUUGCAUUUUAUUGUAAUUUAGUAUACAUUUCAGUGUGAACAUAUUAAUUAAUCAUUAUUUAUGCGUGAAAAUGUGUACAAACGGUUAGUAAAUAAGACCCAAUGUCUAAGCGUAUGUUGUUGUCCACUGUUGAAUUUUCCUCAUAACCUCAGAGGAACAGACUUUUAAUCACUCACUCCUUCAGAGUUCUAUUUCGGGAGGCUGAAGUAAGCACAUGUGACCAUUUAUGCAGCCUGCCUCGCUAGAGAGUUUGCACACAGACUGAUAGGGGAGAGGGAACUGCAGAGAGUGCUUUUGCACAAUUGUACUCUGGCAAUUACUCACUGAAUCCCAGCUCCACAGAGACACUCACUAAACACUAUAACAAAUGGAGCAUCUAAGCCAAGGAAUGUUUUUCCAACAGCAUUCUUCACAUUCGUUCAAUUAAUUCUACUCUACAGAUCUGCCAGCAGAUGGAAAGAGGAAGAGAGCACUUGCUUUGUUUUUUAUUUAUGUCACUCCAGCAGUAGCAGACCAACCGUCUCUCAGAGCAGCAGGUGCUUGUGGGUGAUAAGAACUACCUGUCAACUGGUUCACUCUCACCUGUCACACUCAGACUGCUGUGGAGUGCUAGAUACAGUCAGACCGCUGCAGUGUGUGUGUGGGUGUGCACAUCGAAUGAGUAAUACAUGUAUUAAAUAAAAUGAAAGCAAAUAAUAAAAUCAUUGCUUUAAUUAAUACCUCAAUUCAGGUUCAUUAUAUUUAUUUUCAUUAGUUAUUUUCAUUAAAUUUUAGUUUCAUUAAAUAAUUAAAGAGAAAUAAAAUCUAACAUUUUUAGUUUCACAGAG